GAAGCGGCGGUGUGAACCAGCCGUGGACGCCACACGAGUGAGAAUGCAGGCAUGAGUAGCGAAUCACGGGUGAGAAACCCGUGCGCCGGAUGAUCAAGGGUUCCAGGGUCAAGUUAAUCUGCCCUGGGUGAGUCGGGGCCUAAGGCGAGGCCGACAGGCGUAGUCGAUGGACGACCAGUUGAUAUUCUGGUACCGGUGUAGCACCGUCCGUGUCGAGGUGUGUGAUGCUAAGCGUGCGAGUGUCCUGGUGAUCCCUUCGGGGUGAUCUUGUGGCGUGAGUGUGUGAACCGAUCAUGUAGUAGACAAGCUGCGGAGGGACACAGUGAGGUAGCUCGUCCCCGGCGAUGGUUGUCCGGGGCUAAAUGUGUGGACUGUCUGGUAGGUAAAUCCGUCAGACGUUGAGUUGAGGCAUGAUGGCGAGCCAUGUUUGUGUGGUGAGCGAGUGAUCCUGUGCUGUCGAGAAAAGCUUCGUGAGCGAGGUGUGAGCCGCCCGUACCCUAAACCGACACUGGUGGAUAGGUAGAGUAUACCGAGGCGAUCGAGUGAAUCGUGGUGAAGGAACUCGGCAAAAUGCCCCCGUAACUUUGGGAUAAGGGGGACCUGAGCUGUCGUGCACCCGUGCGGUGUGGUGGCGGUGAGGGGCGCAGAGUCCAGGGGGAAACGACUGUUUACCAAAAACACAGGUCCGUGCGAAGUCGUAAGACGAUGUAUACGGACUGACUCCUGCCCGGUGCUGGAAGGUUAAGGGGAACUGUGA
rnacentral:rRNA from 1 species